UUCGGAUCCUGGGCGUGGACAUGGCACUGCUCAUCAGGCCAUGCUGAGGCGGUGUCCCACAUAGCACAACCAGAAGGACCUACAAGUAGAAUAUACAACUAGAGCAAUCCAUUGCCAGUGCAAGUGUCUUCUGUUCUUCUUAGUGUACCCACUGAGAUUUGGGGUUCGGGCAACUGGAGCAAAUACUGAUACUGUGGCUGCUGCUGUUGCCCCAUGCCCGAGUGUUGUCCUCAAGUGGAUUCGACCCAAACUUCUGUGAGAUAAAGGCUUGAUCAUAACCAGGAGACAUCAGGUCAUCUCAGGGGACAAGCCACAGACUUCGACAGUUUCUUCAGUGACCCACGCACGGGUAGGACAUUCCACAACAGUUCUUGGAUCCUAGCACGAGGCCAUGUAGGCCAUCCUCUUGAGAAGUUGCUUCCAUAGAGAACAUCUGUAGGGUUCCAGAAGAAUGCAGUCCAUGUUUACAACGGUUGGAGACUUGACCUCAAUCUGAAGUUACUCUUCCCUUCCUCACCGCCCUACCAACAAAAGGAGAAUGGAAUGUGAUUCUCUCCCCAGCUCCACACAUGUGGCAGGCAGAGGCAGUGGUAGGAGCCAGAGAGACAUUGUUCCUGUAAGUUCAAAGAGGAGCUGUUCCUCGGCAAAAAAUAACUGGUGGCAACCAUCUUGGGAAAAAUAUAUUCCAGAAGUUUAAAUACAGUGGACAACUCUGUAUUUUAAAUCUGAAUGUUUAGAACCUGCAGAUAUAGGGACUAAGAGCAUUUUGUAUUUGCAGAUUAGAGCAUUGACCACUAGGUACUCGGACCUUGCCUUGAACUUGCACAGGCUGCUCAGAAGGGUCGCUGAUUACCUCCUGGGAUUAACCUUCUCUUCUGCCUCCAUCUUCCUGCUGGCUGCUCGUGCCCUAUGAUGUCAGAUGACAGCAUUGCUGUCACCACAGAACAGUUAGCCAGAGAGGUUGGAGUUAACGAAGGCUGCCCCAUUGUUAGGUAGCAACGGGGAGGAAACAGUCAAGACUUCCUGUGUCCACAGUACACAGGUUAGGCAAGCAGCGAAUCUUAUAGAACACAACUUUUGCCAGCUUCUUGUUGUCUGGGUGUGCAGCCAAGCUUGGGAGGUCCCCAAAAUGCUACCUCCUCUGACCAGGGCCUCUGGACUCUAUGAGGACUAGUUCCGACUCCC
ensembl:lncRNA